rnacentral:misc_RNA from 1 species
UUUCCGUAGGUGAACCUGCGGAAGGAUCAUUAUUGUAUAACCGAGGUGCGAGGGCUGUCGCUGACCCGAAAGGUCGUGCACGCCCGAGUGCUCUCACACACAUCCAUCUCACCCCUAUGUGCACCACCGCGUGGGUCCCCCUUUGGCUUGUUCGGAGGGGGGCUUACGUUUUCACACAAACUUUGUAUGCAGUGUAGAAUGUAUUUUUUGUUUUUGCGAUCACGCAAUCAAUACAACUUUCAACAACGGAUCUCUUGGCUCUCACAUCGAUGAAGAACGCAGC